rnacentral:rRNA from 1 species
UACGUAGGGUGCGAGCGUUAAUCGGAAUUACUGGGCGUAAAGCGUGCGUAGACGGUCAUGUAAGUCGGGUGUGAAAGCCCCGGGCUCAACCUGGGAAUUGCAUUCGAGACUGCAUGGCUAGGGUGCGGAAGAGGGAAGCGGAAUUUCCGGUGGAGCGGUGAAAUGCGUAGAGAUCCGGAGGAACACCGACGGCGUAGGCAGCGCCCUGGACGACACCUGACGCUGAGGCACGAAAGCUGGGGGAGCGAACAGG